GACAGGAGGGUGCAAACGUUGUUCGGAAUUACUGGGCGUAAAGCGCGUGUAGGCGGCUAAGUAAGUCGGGCGUGAAAUCCCACGGCUCAACCGUGGAAGUGCACUCGAAACUGCAUAGCUAGAGUCCUGGAGAGGAAGGUGGAAUGCUUGGUGUAGAGGUGAAAUUCGUAGAUAUCAAGCGGAACACCGGUGGCGAAGGCGGUC
rnacentral:rRNA from 1 species